rnacentral:rRNA from 1 species
UGAGGAAUAUUGGGCGAUACCCGCAAGGGUGACCCAGCAACGCCGCGUGGAGGAUGAAUGUCGUAAGAUUGUAAACUCCUGUUAGAGGGGAAGAAUAGUACCGGUUGGACCGGUAUAUGACUGUACCCUCAGAGAAAGCCCCGGCUAACUACGUGCCAGCAGCCGCGGUAAUACGUAGGGGGCAAGCGUUGUCCGGAUUUACUGGGUGUAAAGGGCGCGCAGGCGGGAUAAAAAGUCAGUGGUGAAAUCCUACAGCUUAACUGUAGAACUGCCUUUGAUACUUUUAUUCUUGAGUUCGGGAGAGAGAGACGGAAUUCCAGGUGUAGUGGUGAAAUACGUAGAUAUCUGGAAGAACACCAGUUGCGAAGGCGGUCUCUUGGUCCGACACUGACGCUGAGGCGCGAAAGCGUGGGGAGCAAACA